rnacentral:rRNA from 1 species
UACAGAGGUGGCGAGCGUUAUUCGGAAUUAUUGGGCGUAAAGGGCGCGUAGGCGGCCACGCAAGUCUUGGGUGAAAUCCCUCGGCUCAACCGAGGAACUGCCUUGGAAACUGCAUGGCUCGAGGCCGGGAGAGGGUAGCGGAAUUCCCAGUGUAGCGGUGAAAUGCGUAGAGAUCGGGAGGAACACCAGAGGCGAAGGCGGCGACCUGGACAGGCACUGACACUCAACUACGAAAGCGUGGGGAGCAAACAGG